rnacentral:tRNA from 1 species
GUCGUUAUGGUGAAAAGGUAGACACACAACAUUCAAAAUGUUGCGGGGAAACCCGUGUCGGUUCGAAUCCGACUAACGACA